rnacentral:rRNA from 1 species
GACGAACGCUGGCGGCGUGCUUAACACAUGCAAGUCGAACGGAAAGGCCCUGCUUUUGUGGGGUGCUCGAGUGGCGAACGGGUGAGUAACACGUGAGUAACCUGCCCUUGACUUUGGGAUAACUUCAGGAAACUGGGGCUAAUACCGGAUAGGAGCUCCUGCUGCAUGGUGGGGGCUGGAAAGUUUCGGCGGUUGGGGAUGGACUCGCGUCUUAUCAGCUUGUUGGUAGGGUAGUGGCUUACCAAGGCUUGGACGCGUAGCCGGCCUGAGAGGGUGACCGGCUACACUGGAAAUGAGACACGGCCCAGUCUGGUACGGGAGGGAGCAGUGGGGUAUAUUGGACGAGGGGCGAAGGCCUGAUACAGCCGUGCGGCGUGAGUGAUGAAUGCCUUAGGGUUGUAAAGCUCUCUUACCCGGGAUGAUAAUGACAGUACCGGGUGAAUAAGCACCGGCUAACUCCGUG